rnacentral:rRNA from 1 species
UACAGAGGUCUCAAGCGUUGUUCGGAUUCAUUGGGCGUAAAGGGUGCGUAGGCGGCGCGGUAAGUCGGGUGUGAAAUCUUGAUGAGCUUAACUCCGAAACUGCAUUCGAUACUGCGGUGCUUGAGGACUGGAGAGGAGACUGGAAUUCAUGGUGUAGCAGUGAAAUGCGUAGAGAUCAUGAGGAAGACCAGUGGCGAAGGCGGGUCUCUGGACAACUCCUGACACUGAGGCACGAAGGCCAGGGGAGCAAACGGG